rnacentral:rRNA from 1 species
UGAGGAAUCUUGCGCAAUGGGGGAAACCCUAACGUAGCAACGCCGCGUGAGUGAGGAAGGCCUUCGGGUCGUAAAGCUCUGUCAGAUGGGAAGAAAUGGGUGGGGGCUAAUAUCGUCCAUCCUUGACGGUACCAUCAGAGGAAGCACCGGCUAACUCCGUGCCAGCAGCCGCGGUAAUACGGGGGGUGCAAGCGUUGUUCGGAAUCAUUGGGCGUAAAGCGCGCGCAGGCGGCUUGGUCAGUCAGAUGUGAAAGCCCUGGGCUUAACCCAGGAAGUGCAUUUGAUACUGCCUCGCUAGAGUACGGGAGAGGAAAGUGGAAUUCCUGGUGUAGAGGUGAAAUUCGUAGAUAUCAGGAGGAACACCGGUGGCGAAGGCGACUUUCUGGCCCGAUACUGACGCUCAGGCGCGAAAGCGUGGGGAGCAAACAG